rnacentral:rRNA from 1 species
AAUGAACGCUGGCGGCGUGGAUAAGACAUGCAAGUCGAACGGAGUUAGCAAUAAGCUUGCUUAAGGCAAACUCAGUGGCGAACGGGUGAGUAACACGUGAAUAAUCUGCCUUGAAGUGGGGGAUAGCCCUGGGAAACUCGGAUUAAUACCGCAUGUGGUCGAGAGACUAAAGCAGCAAUGCGCUUUAAGAUGAGUUCGCGUCCUAUUAGCUAGUUGGUGAGGUAACUGCUCACCAAGGCCUUGAUAGGUAGCCGGUCUGAGAGGAUGUCCGGCCACACUGGAACUGAGACACGGUCCAGACACCUACGGGUGGCAGCAGUCGAGAAUCAUUCACAAUGGGGGCAACCCUGAUGGCGCGACGCCGCGUGGGGGAAGAAUGUCUUCGGAUUGUAAACCCCUGUCAUGUGGGAGUAAGCCAGUGAUAGUUGAUAGUACCACAAGAGGAAGAGACGGCAAACUCUGUGCCAGCCGCCGCGGUAA